ensembl:lncRNA
CCAACACAGCUCAAAUGUCGCUUGAGCUGCAUGCCAGUGAUGUGAACUGAAGCAAGUACAAGAGCUGUGCCUUUCGACUUCAAAAGCUAAAGAUGGAGCAAUUGGACAAGACAACACAGUCACUUCUGGAAGCUGCACAGGCCAUUGCCUUGUUGGAGGCGCUCCCAAAAAUGUUCCCUUCCCCAACCGCCCCUCCAAGAAAACUCAAGUCGGCAAGUGAGGCACUGUACCAUGUCCUUGAGGUGGGUUUUAGAGUCAGUACAUAAUGCUUUCAUUUGUGAAUUUCAUGUGUGUGGUUUAACUUCAUUCUGCCCCCCUCCCCCAAUUUGUUGCUUUCAGCCACCUAAGGACCCCAAUGUCUUCUUGCGUAACUGAUAACCUUGCCAAGGGAAAUGCUUCUGGAAUCACUCAUGAUACUGAUGGGAUGCUACUCUGUGUUCCAGUUGACCUAUUCCAAGUGUAUUGCUAGGCUAUUGUCCAUAAUACAAACAGAGGUACUCAAAGAUUUUAUUCACGAGAGUGACAAGACGACAACAUAUAAAAAGGUUCUUGCUGACUGUCAAGUAUUCAUCCAAACCUAGUCUGUCUCUCCCUCUAUCUUUGUCAACCUCUCUCUGUAUGUCACUCUUCUGUAUGUCACUCCCCCC